UACCCGCAGCUCAAGUGGUGGUCAUUAUUAUUGGGCCUAAAGCGUCCGUAGCAGGCUUGUUAGAUGCCUGGGUAAAUCGAUGACGGCUUAACGCCAUCGAAUUCCGGGUAGACCGGCAAGCUCGAGACCGGGAGAGGCGUGAGCUACUCAAGGGGUAGGGGUAAAAUCCUGUAAUCCUUUGGGGAGGACCAGUGGCGAAGGCGUCACGCUAGAACGGCUCUGA
rnacentral:rRNA from 1 species